rnacentral:rRNA from 1 species
AAUCAACGCUGGCGGCGUGCCUCAGACAUGCAAGUCGAACGCGAAAUUUCCCUUCGGGGAGAAAGUAGAGUGGCGCACGGGUGAGUAACACGUAGGUAAUUUGCCUUUGGGUGGGGAAUAACUCAGGGAAACUUGAGCUAAUACCGCAUAAUGCAGCGGCUCGACAUCGAGACAGUUGUUAAAGCGGGGGAUUGGAGCAAUCCGACCUCGCGCCUAAAGAGAAGCCUGCGGCAGAUUAGCUAGUUGGUAAGGUAAUGGCUUACCAAGGCGACGAUCUGUAACCGGCCUGAGAGGGCGGUCGGUCACACUGACACUGACAUACGGGUCAGACUCCUACGGGAGGCAGCAGUCGGGAAUUUUGGGCAAUGGCGCAAGCCUGACCCAGCAACGCCGCGUGAAGGAUGAAAUUUUCGGAAUGUAAACUUCGCAAGAACAGGAAGAAUAAGUGUGGGACAAUACCCACAUGAUGACGGUACUGUUUGUAAGCUCCGGCUAAC